rnacentral:rRNA from 1 species
GUUUGUCGCGUUGUUCGUGAAAUCUCACGGCUUAACUGUGAGCGUGCGGGCGAUACGGGCAGACUUGAGUACUGCAGGGGAGACUGGAAUUCCUGGUGUAGCGGUGGAAUGCGCAGAUAUCAGGAGGAACACCGGUGGCGAAGGCGGGUCUCUGGGCAGUAACUGACGCUGAGGAGCGAAAGCGUGGGGAGCGAACAGGAUUAGAUACCCUGGUAGUCCACGCCGUAAACGGUGGGUACUAGGUGUGGGUUUCCUUCCUUGGGAUCCGUGCCGUAGCUAACGCAUUAAGUACCCCGCCUGGGGAGUACGUCCGCAAGGCUAAAACUCAAAGAAAUUGACGGGCGCCCGCACAACCGGCGGAGCAUGUGGAUUAAUUCGAUGCAACGCGAAGAACCUUACCUGGGUUUGACAUGCACAGGACGCCGGCAGAGAUGUCGGUUCCCUUGUGGCCUGUGUGCAGGUGGUGCAUGGCUGUCGUCAGCUCGUGUCGUGAGAUGUUGGGUUAAGUCCCGCAACGAGCGCAACCCUUGUCUCAUGUUGCCAGCGGGUAAUGCCGGGGACUCGUGAGAGACUGCCGGGGUCAACUCGGAGGAAGGUGGGGAUGACGUCAAGUCAUCAUGCCCCUUAUGUCCAGGGCUUCACACAUGCUACAAUGGCCGGUACAAAGGGCUGCGAUGCCGCGAGGUUAAGCGAAUCCUUUUAAAGCCGGUCUCAGUUCGGAUCGGGGUCUGCAACUCGACCCCGUGAAGUCGGAGUCGCUAGUAAUCG